rnacentral:rRNA from 1 species
AAUCAACGCUGGCGGCGUGCCUCAGACAUGCAAGUCGAACGCGAAAGUUUCCUUCGGGAGAUGAGUAGAGUGGCGCACGGGUGAGUAACACGUGAGUAAUUUACCUCGGGUGGGGAAGUACUAACCGGAAACGGUUAGUUAAUACCGCAUAAUGCAGCGGCAUCAAUGAUGACAGUUGUUAAAGCGGGGGAGUUGGAGCAAUCCGACCUCGCGCCUGAAGAAG